AGUGAACGCUGGCGGUAGGCCUAACACAUGCAAGUCGAACGGCAGCACAGUAAGAGCUUGCUCUUACGGGUGGCGAGUGGCGGACGGGUGAGGAAUACAUCGGAAUCUACUUUUUCGUGGGGGAUAACGUAGGGAAACUUACGCUAAUACCGCAUACGACCUACGGGUGAAAGUAGGGGAUCUUCGGACCUUGCGCGAUUGAAUGAGCCGAUGUCGGAUUAGCUAGUUGGCGGGGUAAAGGCCCACCAAGGCGACGAUCCGUAGCUGGUCUGAGAGGAUGAUCAGCCACACUGGAACUGAGACACGGUCCUGACUCCUACGGGAGGCAGCAGUGGGGAAUAUUGGACAAUGGGCGCAAGCCUGAUCCAGCCAUACCGCGUGGGUGAAGAAGGCCUUCGGGUUGUAAAGCCCUUUUGUUGGGAAAGAAAAGCAGCAGGUUAAUACCCCGCUGUUCUGACGGUACCCAAAGAAUAAGCACCGGCUAACUUCGUG
rnacentral:rRNA from 1 species